UACGUAGGGACCGAGCGUUGUCCGGAUUCAUUGGGCGUAAAGAGCUCGUAGGCGGCUGUUCAAGUCGAACGUGAAAACUCGGAGCUCAACUCCGAGCCUGCGUUCGAUACUGGACGGCUAGAGUCUGGUAGGGGGAUCUGGAAUUCCUGGUGUAGCGGUGGAAUGCGCAGAUAUCAGGAGGAACACCGAUGGCGAAGGCAGCUCGCUGGGACGGUACUGACGCUGAGGCGCGAAAGCGUGGGGAGCGAACAGG
rnacentral:rRNA from 1 species